UACGAAGGGGGCUAGCGUUGCUCGGAAUUACUGGGCGUAAAGCGCACGUAGGCGGGUCAAUAAGUUGGGUGUGAAACCUCCAGGCUCAACCUGGAGACGCCACCCGAUACUGCUGUGACUAGAGUCCGGUAGGGGAGCGUGGAAUUCCUGGUGUAGCGGUGAAAUGCGCAGAUAUCAGGAGGAACACCAGCGGCGAAGGCGGCGCUCUGGGCCGGAACUGACGCUGAGGAGCGAAAGCGUGGGUAGCAAACAGG
rnacentral:rRNA from 1 species